GUGCUCACUUUGGCAGCACAUAUACUAAAAUUUGAAUAGUACUGAGAUUGAAAUGGUCCCUGCAGAAGGACGACAUGCAAAUUCGUGAAAUGUUUCAUACUUAU
ensembl:snRNA U6 U6 spliceosomal RNA